rnacentral:rRNA from 1 species
UACGUAGGGUGCGAGCGUUAAUCGGAAUUACUGGGCGUAAAGCGUGCGCAGGCGGUUUUGUACGUCUGACGUGAAAUCCCCGGGCUCAACCUGGGAAUUGCGUUGGAGACUGCAAGGCUGGAGUCUGGCAGAGGGGGGUAGAAUUCCACGUGUAGCAGUGAAAUGCGUAGAGAUGUGGAGGAACACCGAUGGCGAAGGCAGCCCCCUGGGUCAAGACUGACGCUCAUGCACGAAAGCGUGGGGAGCAAACAGG